AGCAAUGCGUGGGUAUUGAUUCAGGCAGAUUCAUGGCGGCGGUGCGUCUUUCUUUCUGCAGGAAACAAAGAGAGAAAGGCAUGCCGUUUGUUUCGUCUUCUAUCAGUAAAAAGCUCUGCUCUUGCGUUAUUCAAAACAAAGCUUGCCUGCUUGACCUUGUCUCAUCAUCUCACACAUCGACUCACAGAAACUCAAAACAAGCCACAAAACUUUCUUUUAUUAGGUAUAAAAAUACAUGAUGUUCUGAAAUGCAGAUUCAGCCAGAGAGAGAUAAGCCAUGAACCCUUCAGGUCCUGACAUGGAGAAUAACAGCCGAGGUGUUUUCACUCCCGUUACUGUUGUUCAAAUUGAUGAAAAUCCAAUUCUGGUGAAAGAUCACUUUUUAUGGUCUCUGUGCAGUUUCCACUUCAUGAAUUACUGCUGCCUUGGACUGAUUGCCUUAUGGUAUUCAAUUAGAUCCAGAGAUGAGAAAGUGGCAAGGAACCUACAGCUAGCAAGAAUGCAUGGAGAAAAAGCAAAAUGCAUUAAUAUCACUAUCUUGGUCUUAAUAGGUGCUACCAUUUUGAUUGCAAUUAUUGCAAAUGUUUGUGUAGCUCUUUUGAUGUCCAGAAGUUAAAAUAAAAUAAUGUCAGUGACUGGGAUACCCCUAUGUGCCACCAUGACUUGGAAGAAAAGUUACCAAAACAAAGUCUUAUUAGUAAUAAUAAAACAUGUUCUGGUUCUGCUGGAGGGUCUCCAGGGAAAGCUGCACAUGAGGCAUCCUUACAUCAUGCCUGAACCACCUCUUCUUGACCCACACGAGCAAUGAAUCUACUCUGAGGCUCUUCCAAAUUAGCCCAGCUACAUGAAGAAUGCUCAUUUUGCCACCGCUCAAUUUGAACAAGAGCCCGAGCACUUGAGCAUCUCUACUGAGGGAAGUUUAUCCCCUUAUCUAGUGAGAACAAUCCACUCUUUUCUGAGAGAGACGCAUUACCUUAGUCUUGGAGAUAAUGAUCCU